AACGAACGCUGGCGGCAUGCCUAACACAUGCAAGUCGAACGAGAACAUCGGGUCUAGUGGCGCACGGGGGCGUAACGCGUGGGAACCUGAACUUAGGUUCGGAAUAACUCCCCGAAAGGGGUGCUAAUACCGGAUAAUGUCUUCGGACCAAAGAUUUAUCGCCUUUGGAUGGGCCCGCGUUGGAUUAGCUAGUUGGUAGGGUAAAAGCCUACCAAGGCGACGAUCCAUAGCUGGUCUGAGAGGAUGAUCAGCCACACUGGGACUGAGACACGGCCCAGACUCCUACGGGAGGCAGCAGUGGGUAAUAUUGGACAAUGGGCGAAAGCCUGAUCCAGCAAUGCCGCGUGAGUGAUGAAGGCCUUAGGGUUGUAAAGCUCUUUUACCCGUGAUGAUAAUGGCAGUACCGGGAGAAUAAGCUCCGGCUAACUCCGUG
rnacentral:rRNA from 1 species